UACCCCCGAUCAAGCAAGAAGACCCGCUGAAUUUAAGCAUAUACUAG
rnacentral:rRNA from 1 species